rnacentral:rRNA from 1 species
UUAAAUUGAAGAGUUUGAUCAUGGCUCAGAUUGAACGCUGGCGGCAGGCCUAACACAUGCAAGUCGAACGGUAACAGGAAACAGCUUGCUGUUUCGCUG